rnacentral:rRNA from 1 species
CCAGGUUGAUUCUGCCUGACGUAGACGCUAUUCCCUAAGAUUAACCCAUGCAUGUUUUUGACAUUUGAAAAAUGGACUGCUCAGUAAUACUCACUUUAUUUUAUGUAUAUUUGAAAUUAACUACGUUAAAGUGUAGAUAAGAUGUGUACAGUAAGAGUGAGACCUAUCAGCUAGUUGUUAAGGUAAUGGCUUAACAAGGCAGUGACGGGUAACGGUAUUACUUUGUAAUAUUCCGGAGAAGGAGCCUGAGAGACGGCUACUAAGUCUAAGGAUUGCAGCAGGGGCGAAACUUGACCUAUGGAUUUUAUCUGAGGCAGUUAUGGGAAGUAAUAUUAUAUUGUUUCAUAUUGUAAAAGUAUAUGAGGUGAUUAACUGGAGGGCAAAUCAAGUGCCAGCAGCCGCGGUAAUACUUGUUCCAAGAGUGUGUAUGAUGAUUGAUGCAGUUAAAAAGUCCGUAGUUUAUUUUUAAGAAGCAAUAUGAGGUGUACUGUAUAGUUGGGAGAAAGAUGAAAUGUGACGACCCUGACUGGACGAACA